AUUGAACGCUAGCGGCAUGCCUUACACAUGCAAGUCGAACGAGUGGCGGACGGGUGAGUAAUAUAUUGGAACGUGCCCAGUCUCCGGGGCUAACUACUCUACAGCUUGGCUACUACCGCUUACUCCUCUAUCGGCCCAUGUCGGUUUAGUUAGUGGGUGGGGUAAAGGCUCACCAAGGCAACGAUCCGUAGCGGGUUUGAGAGGACGACCAGCCACACUGGGACUGAGACACGGCCCAGACUCCUACGGGAGGCAGCAGUGGGGAAUUUUGGACAAUGGGGGAAACCCUGAUCCAGCCAUCCCGCGUGUAUGAGAAGGCCUUCGGGUUGUAAAGUACUUUUGGCAGAGAAGCGGUAUCUGCAGAAUAAGCAACGGCUAACUACGUGCCAGCAGCCGCGGUAACUC
rnacentral:rRNA from 1 species